GGAAAGGGUGAGGUGCUGGGUGUAACAGUGGCUGUUGUGUGCCGCUGUUCCCCUGCUUACCGCCGCGGUCCUGGGCGCCGUGUUCAGUGGUGAUCUGCUGCCAGUGUUUCCUUGCAGCCCUGGCCAC